GCUUCUGUCGCUCUUGAACCUCGAUUCCUUUCGCUCUCCAAGGCUACCUUCUCUCCCUUUUCCACCGUGCGAUCUUUGUCUCACAAGUUACCAACCGCACUUUCUUGCUAAAAAACCUUCACUGCUUUCUCUGUUGCUAGAGGUUGCUUUCUCUUCUGCUCUCGCAGGGCCUUCAGUUCUCACUUAGAUUCCAGAGUAGAAGCCCAGAAAGCUAAUAUGGCAAAGCGAGAGCUUUCCAGCACUCUCAGGAACUUAAAAGUUUAUGCAAAGAGCAACUUAGAAGGAGGUGAAGAAAGAAGAUGUCAAACCAUAACUUAUCACCUCAGAAUUUUACGUUUAAUAACCAAGUGGAUUACUUUACUUGGUUGGACCAGUUUUUAUAGCUAUAUUUCAACCUUUCCUCUGAUAGCUUUUAACGAUUGGAUUUCUCGAGUCUACUUUCCAUGCUUUGACCAUUUCAUUUGGCAGAGGGUUCUGGGUUUUGGAGAAUUCUUCAUUAAAUUGAAUUUUUUGUGAUUAAAUUUCUGGCUUAAGUAGCGGUUUUUGAGGUUGUGGUCUCCAAAAAAAGUUGAUGCAGGUUUCCUUUCUAUGAACCUGAUUUUGGAUGGGGAAAGCCACCAUGGGUGACUUCAGGUACGGAGUUCAAGAAUCUGAUUGUGUUAAUGGAUACACGAGAUGAAGAUGGCAUAGAAGUAUCCUUGAAUCUCAAGGAAGAAGACCUGGCCAUAUUUGAAAGCACUAAGGAGCUGCUUGAGGUGGUAAUGUGCCUCCACCAUUCAAUUUAUUUGAAUCUACUGGUCUCCCAUAUGAGAUUCAGAGGUUUUGAGCUUCCACAAAUUUCAAGGCGUUCAAACUUUACUCUCGAAUGAAAUGGAUCAAUUUGUUUGCAGCUUGAAGAUUUUUACUUUCACCAAGUUUAUCUUCAACUCCAGGCUUUGAAAUACAAUGUUGUUCUAGGCUGUCAUCUAGAUUCCCAAUCACAUGUUUCCACGGUGGUUUCAAAGAGGUCCUUGAGACGAUCAGAUGUUGUACUCAGCAGCCACCAUUAUAAUAAGGUAAGACCGAGCGUCAUUCUCUUGGUCACUAGAUGCCUUGAGAAUUUAUAGUCACUCACCCAACUUGGGAUUUGAGUAAUCAUGAAUAACUCGAUUUUGUGUUACUAUGUGAUGCGGUGGUGAGAGGACUUUGGUAUGGGAGGGAGGACUAGAGAGAGAUGUUUAGAUUUGAGAAGGGUAAUUGGUAUUGAAAAUUGAGAUGCCUAUAUACCAUGGCAGGGUCGGUUCCAGCUUUUUCUUUUCCUUGGUAAUUACUAUAAAUACAAAUGGAUGGUGCAUACAAAUUACUAUAACUUCAAGAAAAAACAAAACAGACCCAGAUACCAAUUCACUUCAGUCCUCAAACAUCUCGAUCCAUUCCAGCUUUUUCUCUUCCUUGCAUGGAGAGCUGUACAAGGCACUUUCUGCAAUUUAUUGCAAAAUAAUGUCAGUUAUCCCUUCUUUGGAUACAACUCAAACUGGGAGCAAGUCUGGUAUCCAAGCUUUACGUUCGUUGCAUGUAGCACAUGAAAAGUCUUAAGAAUGUAGUAAGCUUUAUUUGGCAGGUAUUCCCUCAAUAGUUAAGGAAACAAUUAUUUUCCCCUUUCUGCUUUGAAGAAAUAGAAUUCUCUUUAGAUGUUUACAUUUGUUUCAUUCAUGAUGAGGUUGUGUAUAAAUUGCAUUUGCAUUUGUAACUCAGUUUUUGACUCGAACAUUGUUUAUAAAGAUUGCAGGUGCAUAAUCUUUCAUAUAAUUUUCAAUCCCGCAGCAACGCGCGGGUGCAAAUUCUAGUA